AUUGAACGCUGGCGGCAUGCUUUACACAUGCAAGUCGAACGGGCUGUCGGGGCAACCUGGCAGUCAGUGGCGAACGGGUGAGUAAUACAUCGGAACGUGUCCUUGAGUGGGGAGUAACCCGGCGAAAGACCGGACUAAUACCGCAUACGCUCUAAGGAGGAAAGACGGGGACCGAGCAAUGGCCUCGUGCUGAAGGAGCGGCCGAUGUCCGAUUA
rnacentral:rRNA from 1 species